UAGCUAAGCUAACCCACAGCCUAGCUAACGUUAGUUUCAUUACUUGCUGUGUCGCUGUUCGCUCUACAUCAUGGUAUUUGUCAUUGUAUUGUAUUUCUCCAGAAUCGCAUUCCCAACUUUAAGUGACUUUAGAUUUGGCUGAUGUGAUUCCUCUCAAACCUGAUUUAAUCUGACUGAUUUCACUUAUUGUUAUGAUUUGAUUGAUUUCAAACCUGAGUUGAUUGAUUGAAUUUAUUUGAUAAAUAAAAAUUCACAAUAACAUUUAUCUUUAUGACGUGAUUGAUUAUAAACUUUAUUGAACCUCGUGUCUGAUUUAUUUGAGUCCUGUUUGAUUCCAGCUGAUGGUCCACCUGACUGGUUUUAUACCUGAUGUGUUGUUCAGACUGAAGGUGACCGAGCUUUGCGUCUCUGUAAAGAUCAUCGAGCUCUGACUGAAGUCUGAUUCUCAGCACAACUCAAGAACGUUACAAACAUCAGACCGGAUCAGCUUUUUUCACUUCAGCUGUUUCAAAUUUCUUUCCUCUUUUAAAAUACAGAUAAAGAGAUGAAAUCACACUCAGAGAGAUAACAAAGAUCAGACAUAAGUGAGAUAAAGUGACUUCAAAGGAAGUUCAAGACAACAUAGUUUGAGUAACAUGCAAAUGGCAUGAUGUGGGUUAUGAUGUAAAUGAUUUCAUCCUGCAGGUCUGACAUAAUAAAGUAGAUUUUAAAUAUUGAAGCAAAAAGAGAAGAGAUCAGAGCUGAUGUAGGAAAAAGAAUAAUGUAAUUUACAGAGGAUGUAGGGUGGAGAGAAGAUGUGAUGUAACUCAAAUAAAAUACAAGAUAAGACAUGAUGAGAUCUAGAAUCAGAUGUGAUGAGGGUCAGAGUUUGAAUAUUAGAUGAUUUACAGUAGAGAUGAUAAAGGGCAGAGACGGAUGUGUUUCAGAGACAAUGGUGGUCUGAUGUACGCGGUGUAGGUGUCAAACAACAUGGAUAUUGCAGAGAAUUAAGUUUUAAUUUGACAUAGUUUUGUAAUUAUGAGGUGAUGUAGGUUUAGACUGAUGUAGGUUUGAGGUGAUGUAGGUUAAGACUGAUGUAGGUUUAGAGUGAUGUAGGUUUGAGGUGAUGGAGAUUAGAAAUAACUGAUAUCUUUUUUUAGCGAUGAAAUAGGACAGACGGAUGUUGCGGAGGUUGGAGAAGGUUUAGACAUGAUGGAGGUCUGAAACAAUGUUGCGUUUAGAAGAUGUGUGUUUCCGACAGACAACGUACGACUGUAGGUUUCAUAUGUAGGUUAGAGACAACAUGGCCAUUUAAUACCUUAUGUCUGAGAUGCCAUGAUGCAGCUUUUCACCUUCCAUUCCAGAUCCUGCCCCACCCGCUUCCCCACCUGCACCUCAUUCCCUCAUCAGCUGCUCUCUGUAUAUACCGGCCCAGAUCCUUUGUUCCUCUGCCAGAUCAUCCAAGUUGAACUGUGGGUUUCUUGCCUUCUGUUAUCUGUACCUGCUUGUAAGCCUGUAAAAACCUUCAUUGUGCCUGGUUGUUUGCAUUUGGGUCCUAUGACAUGACAGUAGGUUUGACAAGAUUAAAGUGUUUGUUUCGAAAUGAUGUAAUUUUUGGUUUGAUAUGCAGAUGUGAAAUGAAAAAUGUUGUGGGUUAGAGACGAAUGGGAUUCAGAUUCAAGUUUACAAAAUGACAUCAUAAUGAUGACAAGGAGAGAAAGAAAUAACAACAACACUCAUUCUUAGUUAGAAAUGAUAAUGUUCUGUUGGCAGUGUGGUGUUUUUACAAAUCUGUAUUUUCACUGUAACAAAAAUCCUCUCUGCAGCAUCAUUGUUUGUUUGGCUUUUUGAUAGUAUGGGACUGCAUACUUUGUCCUCCCCCUCUCCCCCCCUCUCUCCCUCCCUCUCAAUGUGUGUGUGGGGGGGCUACACUUUAAGCUGGUGUGCUGUCAGGCUUGUUGCAGUUUACCAAGAUAAAACCUGUUAUUUUUGUUAUUUGAACUGUCCCUUUAUUUUGUCUGGAUUUGUAAUGCAGAGAGCAGAAGUGGAAAAUGGUUUUAUAGUUGCACUGUAUGAUGUAGCCUCCUAUCUGCGUUCUAGCACACUUGAAUUGUUGAUUUAUUAUUAUGUCAUUGAAAAAUUGUGAUGAACCACAAUACUGUUGCUAUUGUUUAUGAAUUAAUUUGUAUUGUUUAUUAUAGAUAUUUGGGUGUUUUUUAAAUCAAUUUGGGCGGAUUUUGAGCAAUUAUUGGGCUGGUUAACAUCAAACCAGUCUGACAACACUGAACAACAGUUUCUGUCUUUCUACUUUAAAUCAUACAAAUAGAAUCUCUAUUUUCUGCUCAUAAUAUUACUCAUCCAAAUAUUAAUAUCAGUGAGAUUUAAAAGAGCAUUCAAAGAACUGGUGUUGUCUGGUGAAACAGAUGUACAGUCGUGUGUCAUCUGCAUAAUCACUGAUAAUGUUACUAAAAUGGAGAAUGUGUUAAGUAAACAGAUAGAGGAACUCCAUAAUCAAUAUCAAGGGAUGGGAGGUCCCGGUGGCCUAGGAACACCAUGACCUUGUAACUGUAACAUCCCUUGUUCGAUUCCAGCUGGGAACCUUUGUUGUGUGUCACUAUAUACAUAUAUAUUUAUAUACAUAUAUAUAAAUCACUUCGACUGACAACAAACGUUCUUCCUGACGUGUAAAUGAAACCAGUUCAUGUUAAUGGAGGUUAUGGAUUAGACAAGACGAGGCGCUGUAACAUCAUGUAGGUCAGGGUGAAUUCUUAGUGGUUCAACUGUAAACUUUCCACACACUUUCACGAGUUGACGAAUGUUGGAUUCAUUGAUGUUAGCGUUUGUUAGUGACUUUAUCACUGUACUCAUGCUUUAAAAUGUCCCUGUAUUGUAGUUUUGUUUUGGGUCCAGAUUGAAUUGUAUGUUUUGAUCAGAGUGGUUCUGUUCAGUAUUUCGGUUCUAGGUUUUAAAUAAUGAAGGUUUGAGAUCGGUGUCGGUUAGACUUUAUUUAUAUAGCCCAAUAUCACAAAUCACAAAGUGUAGACAACACCCUCUGUCCUUACACCCUCGAUCAGGAAAAACUCCUCGAAAAACCCUUUAACACGAAAAAAUGUUAGAAAGCUCAGGAAGAGCAGCAACAGAAAGUCAUAGUGUUUACAAUUAUGAAACCACAGAGACCUGCGAAACACACAAACACACAGAAUGACACACUGACUGUGUGUUUUCUCGCUGUUUAAAUGCUUCUGUAGUUUAAACUGACUGACUGAAUGAAUGAAUGAAUGUUUUUUACCGAGUCAGCCGUGUGUGUGUGUGUGUGUGACAGCUGGCCCAUCUGUGACAUCUGGGAAACCCGCCGGUGUGCCGCCGCAAACGCGGUUGAUGUCGCUAUUUAAAUGCAAAUGUCUGUGUGUGAGUGUGUGUGUGAGUGUGUGUGUGUGUGUGUCGAGCGCUCGCACCGUCACACACACACAAAAGGAAACACUUCACACACAAUAAAGGGUUUAACACACACACACACUCACACUGUGACUCGUCUGUAAAUCAGAUGAUAAACUGCAGAAAAAACAAUAAUUCAAUUAAAAUGAUGUUUGUUCAUUUGUUAAUCACUGUUGCUUUUAUAUAAUCGUCGACAUGAUAUUAAUGAUUUAAUGUCGUAAUAAUUUGACCUCUUUUGUUCAACAUCAGUCUGCUGUUAAUUUCCAGGUUUAAAAUCAGUCGAGUCAAUGAAAUAAAACAGAAAAUACAGCUGAGAUUUAUUUAUUCAGCGUCUGAGAAAAGAGAGCUUUAUUGUCAAAUGAACCAUUUUAACACAAAAUCAGAGACAAACAAUACAACUCAGAAAAGACGAUGAAAGAAAUAUAAUACUUUUGAAGAGAUUUCGUGUUAAAUAUGACAAACCUCUAAUUUACUGCAUUAAAUGCUUUUGUUUAAGGUGGAAUGAAUUUAGAUUUUCAGAAGUGAAGACCUUUUUUCCUUCAUCAGAAAAACAGAAAGGUCACAGCUCAUAAAAAGUGUAUUCAACUGAAAAUCCUCUGAAUUGUAAUGUAGACAAACGUUGUAAUCUUUCCUGCCAGACAGAAUCUCAUAGAGAAAACAAGCGACUUUAUGAUAAAACAGUAAAUCUCCAUUCACAGAAAUAAACGUGCGGAUAAUUCAUCACGUCAUCUCGUCACGUCACAGUGAUCGAUCGCCUGCAGCUGAAUGGAACUGAGAUCAAAUCAUAAAACCAUCAGAUGUGAAGACCCUGAAAUAAAACAGGAGUCCAGCUGAUCUGAGUCCGCGCUGUUUCACUGCAGUCUCAAAGUUUUUAAGGUCCGAGAGGAAAACGAAGAGCAGCUCUUCUUCCGUCUUCUGCUUCUUCCAGUAUUUCUGUGUUUGAUCAAUAUUUCUGUGUUUGAUUUUUGGGCCGUUGACACUAAACUUUAACACGUUUCUGUUGUUUUAUGACUGAACAUAAAGAAAUGACAUGUGCACGCGGGAUGAAUCCAUCUCCAACACGUGCGUUUCUCUGUUUCUCCUGGCUUUUGUUUCCAGCGCGUUUUUUCUUUUUGAAAUAUUCCAGCACUGAGAUUCAUUUC